rnacentral:rRNA from 1 species
UUCGGUGGGGAUUUAGUGGCGAACGGGUGAGUAACACGUGGGCAAUCUGCCCUGCACUCUGGGACAAGCCCUGGAAACGGGGUCUAAUACCGGAUACUGAUCCUCGCAGGCAUCUGCGAGGUCGAAAGCUCGGCGGUGCAGGAUGAGCCCGCGGCCUAUCAGCUGUUGGUGAGGUAACGGCUCACCAAGGCGACGACGGGUAGCCGGCCUGAGAGGGCGACCGGCCACACUGGGACUGAGACACGGCCCAGACUCCUACGGGAGGCAGCAGUGGGGAAUAUUGCACAAUGGGCGAAAGCCUGAUGCAGCGACGCCGCGUGAGGGAUGACGGCCUUCGGGUUGUAAACCUCUUUCAGCAGGGAAGAAGCGAAAGUGACGGUACCUGCAGAAGAAGCGCCGGCUAACUACGUGCCAGCAGCCGCGGUAAUACGUAGGGCGCAAGCGUUGUCCGGAAUUAUUGGGCGUAAAGAGCUCGUAGGCGGCUUGUCACGUCGGUUGUGAAAGCCCGGGGCUUAACCCCGGGUCUGCAGUCGAUACGGGCAGGCUAGAGUUCGGUAGGGGAGAUCGGAAUUCCUGGUGUAGCGGUGAAAUGCGCAGAUAUCAGGAGGAACACCGGUGGCGAAGGCGGAUCUCUGGGCCGAUACUGACGCUGAGGAGCGAAAGCGUGGGGAGCGAACAGGAUUAGAUACCCUGGUAGUCCAC